rnacentral:rRNA from 1 species
ACACGUAGGGGGCGAGCGUUGUUCGGAAUCAUUGGGCGUAAAGGGCGCGCAGGCGGCGAGGCAAGUCCGGUGUGAAAGUGCUCGGCUCAACCGAGUGAUGCGCUGGAAACUGCCCUGCUUGAGUACAGGAGGGGACGUCGGAAUUCCAGGUGUAGGGGUGAAAUCUGUAGAUAUCUGGAAGAACACCGGUGGCGAAGGCGGACGUCUGGCCAUGUACUGACGCUGAGGCGCGAAGGUGCGGGGAGCGAACAGGUUUAGAUACCCUGGUAGUCCGCACAGUAAACGAUGUGCACCAGGGGGCGGGGGGUAGCCCUCGGUACCGAAGCCAACGCAUUAAGUGCACCGCCUGGGGAGUAUGCUCGCAAGGGUGAAACUUAAAGGAAUUGACGGGG